rnacentral:piRNA from 1 species
UGCCAGCAAGACCAAGUUUAUUCCUGUAGU